CCUACGGGAGGCAGCAGUGGGGAAUAUUGCACAAUGGGGGAAACCCUGAUGCAGCGACGCCGCGUGAGUGAAGAAGUAUUUCGGUAUGUAAAGCUCUAUCAGCAGGGAAGAAAAUGACGGUACCUGACUAAGAAGCCCCGGCUAACUACGUGCCAGCAGCCGCGGUAAUACGUAGGGGGCAAGCGUUAUCCGGAUUUACUGGGUGUAAAGGGAGCGUAGACGGCCAGACAAGUCAGAAGUGAAAGCCCAGGGCUCAACUCUGGGACUGCUUUUGAAACUGCCGGGCUGGGGUGAUGGAGAGGCAGGCGGAAUUCCGUGUGUAGCGGUGAAAUGCGUAGAUAUACGGAGGAACACCAGUGGCGAAGGCGGCCUGCUGGACAUUAACUGACGCUGAGGCGCGAAAGCGUGGGGAGCAAACAGGAUUAGAUACCCCUGUAGUC
rnacentral:rRNA from 1 species